rnacentral:rRNA from 1 species
UUAAGCGACUAAGCGUACACGGUGGAUGCCCUGGCAGUCAGAGGCGAUGAAGGACGUGCUAAUCUGCGAAAAGCGUCGGUAAGGUGAUAUGAACCGUUAUAACCGGCGAUGUCCGAAUGGGGAAACCCAGUGCAAUUCGUUGCACUAUCGUUAACUGAAUACAUAGGUUAACGAGGCGAACCGGGGGAACUGAAACAUCUAAGUACCCCGAGGAAAAGAAAUCAACCGAGAUUCCCCCAGUAGCGGCGAGCGAACGGGGAGCAGCCCAGAGUCUGAAUCAGCUUGUGUGUUAGUGGAACGGUCUGGAAAGUCCGACGGUACAGGGUGAUAGUCCCGUACACCAAAAUGCACAGGYUGUGAACUCGAAGAGUAGGGCGGGACACGUGGUAUCCUGUCUGAAUAUGGGGGGACCAUCCUCCAAGGCUAAAUACUCCUGACUGACCGAUAGUGAACCAGUACCGUGAGGGAAAGGCGAAAAGAACCCCGGCGAGGGGAGUGAAAAAGAACCUGAAACCGUGUACGUACAAGCAGUGGGAGCACCUUCGGGUGUGACUGCGUACCUUUUGUAUAAUGGGUCAGCGACUUAUAUUCUGUAGCAAGGUUAACCGUAUAGGGGAGCCGCAGGGAAACCGAGUCUUAACUGGGCGUUAAGUUGCAGGGUAUAGACCCGAAACCCGGUGAUCUAGCCAUGGGCAGGUUGAAGGUUGGGUAACACUAACUGGAGGACCGAACCGACUAAUGUUGAAAAAUUAGCGGAUGACUUGUGGCUGGGGGUGAAAGGCCAAUCAAACCGGGAGAUAGCUGGUUCUCCCCGAAAGCUAUUUAGGUAGCGCCUCGUGAAUUCAUCUUCGGGGGUAGAGCACUGUUUCGGCUAGGGGGUCAUCCCGACUUACCAACCCGAUGCAAACUACGAAUACCGAAGAAUGUUAUCACGGGAGACACACGGCGGGUGCUAACGUCCGUCGUGAAGAGGGAAACAACCCAGACCGCCAGCUAAGGUCCCAAAGUCAUGGUUAAGUGGGAAACGAUGUGGGAAGGCACAGACAGCCAGGAUGUUGGCUUAGAAGCAGCCAUCAUUUAAAGAAAGCGUAAUAGCUCACUGGUCGAGUCGGCCUGCGCGGAAGAUGUAACGGGGCUAAACCAUGCACCGAAGCUGCGGCAGCGACACUAUGUGUUGUUGGGUAGGGGAGCGUUCUGUAAGCCUGCGAAGGUGACCUGUGAGGGUUGCUGGAGGUAUCAGAAGUGCGAAUGCUGACAUAAGUAACGAUAAAGCGGGUGAAAAGCCCGCUCGCCGGAAGACCAAGGGUUCCUGUCCAACGUUAAUCGGGGCAGGGUGAGUCGACCCCUAAGGCGAGGCCGAAAGGCGUAGUCGAUGGGAAACAGGUUAAUAUUCCUGUACUUGGUGUUACUGCGAAGGGGGGACGGAGAAGGCUAUGUUAGCCGGGCGACGGUUGUCCCGGUUUAAGCAUGUAGGCUGGUURUCCAGGCAAAUCCGGAUAAUCAAGGCUGAGGUGUGAUGACGAGGCACUACGGUGCUGAAGUAACAAAUGCCCUGCUUCCAGGAAAAGCCUCUAAGCAUCAGGUAACAUYAAAUCGUACCCCAAACCGACACAGGUGGUCAGGUAGAGAAUACCAAGGCGCUUGAGAGAACUCGGGUGAAGGAACUAGGCAAAAUGGUGCCGUAACUUCGGGAGAAGGCACGCUGGUGUGUAGGUGAAGYCCCUGCGGRUGGAGCUGAGACCAGUCGAAGAUACCAGCUGGCUGCAACUGUUUAUUAAAAACACAGCACUGUGCAAACACGAAAGUGGACGUAUACGGUGUGACGCCUGCCCGGUGCCGGAAGGUUAAUUGAUGGGGUUAUCCGUAAGGAGAAGCUCUUGAUCGAAGCCCCGGUAAACGGCGGCCGUAACUAUAACGGUCCUAAGGUAGCGAAAUUCCUUGUCGGGUAAGUUCCGACCUGCACGAAUGGCGUAAUGAUGGCCAGGCUGUCUCCACCCGAGACUCAGUGAAAUUGAACUCGCUGUGAAGAUGCAGUGUACCCGCGGCAAGACGGAAAGACCCCGUGAACCUUUACUAUAGCUUGACACUGAACAUUGAGCCUUGAUGUGUAGGAUAGGUGGGAGGCUUUGAAGCGUGGACGCCAGUCUGCGUGGAGCCAACCUUGAAAUACCACCCUUUAAUGUUUGAUGUUCUAACGUUGGCCCCUKACCGGGGUUGCGGACAGUGUCUGGUGGGUAGUUUGACUGGGGCGGUCUCCUCCCAAAGCGUAACGGAGGAGCACGAAGGUUAGCUAAUCCUGGUCGGACAUCAGGAGGUUAGUGCAAUGGCAUAAGCUAGCUUGACUGCGAGCGUGACGGCGCGAGCAGGUGCGAAAGCAGGUCAUAGUGAUCCGGUGGUUCUGAAUGGAAGGGCCAUCGCUCAACGGAUAAAAGGUACUCCGGGGAUAACAGGCUGAUACCGCCCAAGAGUUCAUAUCGACGGCGGUGUUUGGCACCUCGAUGUCGGCUCAUCACAUCCUGGGGCUGAAGUAGGUCCCAAGGGUAUGGCUGUUCGCCAUUUAAAGUGGUACGCGAGCUGGGUUUAGAACGUCGUGAGACAGUUCGGUCCCUAUCUGCCGUGGGCGCUGGAGAAUUGAGGGGGGCUGCUCCUAGUACGAGAGGACCGGAGUGGACGCAUCACUGGUGUUCGGGUUGUCAUGCCAAUGGCACUGCCCGGUAGCUAAAUGCGGAAGAGAUAAGUGCUGAAAGCAUCUAAGCACGAAACUUGCCCCGAGAUGAGUUCUCCCUGAGACUUUAAGUCUCCUGAAGGAACGUUAAAGACGAUGACGUUGAUAGGCCGGGUGUGUAAGCGCAGCGAUGCGUUGAGCUAACCGGUACUAAUGAACCGUGAGGCUUAACCU